rnacentral:misc_RNA from 1 species
AACGCACAUUGCGCCUCUCUCAACGGAGAGGCAUGCCUGUCUGAGCGUCAUUCAAAACCCAAUGGACCCUUCUUGGGGUUCGUCUUGGGCCUCGGCCCUUGGGCGUGGCCUCAAAGCAAUUGGUCUUUUGAGCGGACGAGAUCCACUGGGACUGACCGCUAAGAGGGACCUUAAUCCUCCGACUUGACCUCAGAUCAGGUAGGACCACCGCCUGAACUUAA